UACGAAGGGGGCGAGCGUUGUUCGGAAUCAUUGGGCGUAAAGGGCGCGUAGGCGGGUUUGUAAGUCGAUUGUGAAAUCCCUGGGCUUAACCCGGGAAUUGCAGUCGAAACUGCAAGUCUUGAGUUCUCGAGAGGAUGGUGGAAUUCCUGGAGUAGUAGUGAAAUACGUAGAUAUCAGGAGGAACACCGGAGGCGAAGGCGGCCAUCUGGCGAGACACUGACGCUAAGGCGCGGAAAGCGUGGGGAGCAAACAGG
rnacentral:rRNA from 1 species